UCCUUAAUUGCUUGAAAAGUUUCAUUCAUCAUUUUGCUAAUAUCAUGUUGAUGAAAUUCAUGUUUCUUUUACACCAAAGAAACAACAACAACAAUAAUGAUAACAAGUUUUCAUGGAAAAACAAAGAUAACAUUUUCACCUCCCUGCUGAUAUACUUUAUGAGUAUCAUGAAAAAAGAGCUUGAACCAACUAAUCAUAUUAACCAUAGAUAAAUAUACAUGUAUUUUCAUGAUGAAUCGUGAUUUGAUUACUUAGAAUCAAGUUAAUCAAGAGAGCAAAACUGAUGAAAAUGUUAAUACAUAUUAAAAAGGUGAACCCACUUUCAACUCUAAAAGGAUAACGAUAAUAAUAAUCAUAUGGAUGAUGAUGUUGAUUUGAAAGUUUCCAUUCCCAUCAAGUUAACUGGAUUAAGGAUUCGAUUAUUUAAAAUUAUUAAUUGUGUGGCAAAUAUUUUCUCACUGGUGACAAUAUUUAUAUUAAUACAUUUAAAAAGCAUCAACGUGAUGAUCAAAUGAAUGACAGUGUUUAUAGUAUUUGAUUGUUGUUAUUUUUGAUUCUCUAUUAAGCUUUGAUUAACCUCUUUAUUUAUCCUUGUUAUUUUAUUAUCAACGAAAUAACAAAAAUAUAAAGAUGAGGAUAACUAUGAUUAUGAAGAAAAGUUUCAAUCCCAUGAGCCAUGAUAAUAACUUUAUAAUAACCAUGAUAAUAAUAUUUAAAUCAGAAUGAAAAAAAAAAUCUUGAAACAUUCUGGUUCAUAAUAUUAUCAUGAUUAUUGAUUAUUCAGCUUCAGUUUUUGGAUGAUAAUAAUAUCAAAAAAAAAGAUCUCAAGCUUAUUCAUCAUAAUGAUGAGAUUUGGGUGAUUAUUAAGGAUUAGAGUUUACAAUUAGUGAAUUCUAGACUAUUCUUAUGCUAAUCACGAUUAAACUAAUAUUCAACUGUUGAACAA